rfam:Oryza meridionalis cultivar OR44 (W2112) chromosome 6, whole genome shotgun sequence.
AAUAAGUGCAGUUUUGCGCUGUUUAUAUUCCACAUUUGACCAUUCGUAUUAUUUGCAAUUUUUUAUGAUUGGUAUUUUUAUUGUUAUUAGAUAAUAAAAUAUGAAUAGUACUUUAUGUGUGACUAUUUUUAAAAUUAUUUUCAUAAUUUUUCCAAAUAAGACGGAUGGUCAAAUGUUGGACACGGAUUACCACGGCUGCACUUAUU